CGGAUCGGGGCGCUGCGGAGACGGGCGGGUUUGUUUCUCUUGUGAUUGUGUUGCGUCUGCUGAACGCAAGGCUGAACGGUCUCUGAGCUGGCCGAGCUGCGGGUGGACGAGGCGUGCCGAACCGGCAGGGGCUGCCACCCGCCCGCUGUCUCAUCCACCGGACGACAGAGCGCUAACCGGUUUCUGAGCCGGUGGCCGGGUGAGCGGUAAAAACCCGCCCGGACGAACGGAGAGAGGCGCCGUGCAGCUCUCGGAGUGCUCCCUCAGGUUAGCCACGGCAGAGUAACAUGUCGAGCUGUCUCAGCAGUCAGCUGGGCCGAACUGGGCCGCCCCGGCCGGAUACACACCGAUCAGGAAAGUGGCUGCACCGCUCGCCGAAUGGACCGAGAUUCACACCGGGAAAACAACCGCCCGUGUACAUACAUCCUGUUAUUAACCCGGCAG